rnacentral:rRNA from 1 species
UACGAAGGGGGCUAGCGUUGCUCGGAAUCACUGGGCGUAAAGCGCACGUAGGCGGAUUGUUAAGUCAGGGGUGAAAUCCUGGAGCUCAACUCCAGAACUGCCUUUGAUACUGGACGAUCUCGAGUUCCGGGAGAGGUGAGUGGAACUGCGAGUGUAGAGGUGAAAUUCGUAGAUAUUCGCAAGAACACCAGUGGCGAAGGCGGCUCACUGGCCCGGUACUGACGCUGAGGUGCGAAAGCGUGGGGAGCAAACAGG